rnacentral:misc_RNA from 1 species
GAUGAAGAACGCAGCGAAAUGCGAUAAGUAAUGUGAAUUGCAGAAUUCAGUGAAUCAUCGAAUCUUUGAACGCACCUUGCGCCCUUUGGCCAUUCCGAAGGGCAUGCCUGUUUGAGUAUCAUGAACACCUCAACUCUUCAUGGUUUUCCGUGAUGAGCUUGGACUUUGGGGGUCUUGCUGGCCUAUGGUCAGCUCCUCUAAAAUAAAUCAGCUUGCCAGUGUUUGGUGGGUAUCACAGGUGUGAUAACUAUCUACGCUUGUGGUUUUCCACCAGGUAACCUUCAGCAGUGGAGGUUCGCUGGAGCUCACAGAUGUGUCUCUCCUCAGUGAGGACAGCACUUUGAAUGUUUGAUCUCAAAUCAGGUAGGACUACCCGCUGAACUUAAGCAUAUCAAUAAGCGGAGGA